rnacentral:rRNA from 1 species
GAUGAACGCUGGCGGCGUGCUUAACACAUGCAAGUCGAACGAAGCACUUUAACUUGAUUUCUUCGGAUUGAUUGUUAUUGUGACUGAGUGGCGGACGGGUGAGUAACGCGUGGGUAACCUGCCUCAUACAGGGGGAUAACAGUUGGAAACGACUGCUAAUACCGCAUAAGCGCACGGUAUCGCAUGAUACAGUGUGAAAAACUCCGGUGGUAUGAGAUGGACCCGCGUCUGAUUAGCUAGUUGGCGGAGUAACGGCCCACCAAGGCAACGACCAGUAGCCGACCUGAGAGGGUGACCGGCAACAUUGGGACUGAGACACGGCCCAAACUCCUACGGGAGGCAGCAGUGGGGAAUAUUGCACAAUGGGCGAAAGCCUGAUGCAGCGACGCCGCGUGAACGAUGAAGUAUUUCGGUAUGUAAAGUUCUAUCAGCAGGGAAGAAGAAUGACGGUACCUGACUAAGAAGCACCGGCUAAAUACGUGCCAGCAGCCGCCGUAA